rnacentral:rRNA from 1 species
AUUGAACGCUGGCGGCAUGCCUUACACAUGCAAGUCGAACGGUAACGGGUCCUUCGGGAUGCCGACGAGUGGCGAACGGGUGAGUAAUAUAUCGGAACGUGCCCAGUAGUGGGGGAUAACUGCUCGAAAGAGCAGCUAAUACCGCAUACGACCUGAGGGUGAAAGGGGGGGAUCGCAAGACCUCUCGCUAUUGGAGCGGCCGAUAUCAGAUUAGCUAGUUGGUGGGGUAAAGGCCUACCAAGGCAACGAUCUGUAGUUGGUCUGAGAGGACGACCAGCCACACUGGGACUGAGCCACGGCCCAGACUCCUACGGGAGUCAGCAGUGGGGAAUUUUGGACAAUGGGCGCAAGCCUGAUCCAGCAAUGCCGCGUGCAGGAAGAAGGCCUUCGGGUUGUAAACUGCUUUUGUCAGGGAAGAAAUCUUCUGGGCUAAUACCCCGGGAGGAUGACGGUACCUGAAGAAUAAGCACCGGCUAACUACGUGCCAGCAGCCGCUGUAA